GCGCCCGUGAUGUAAUGGUAACAUCCGAGCUUCCCAAGCUCGUCAUGUGGGUUCAAUUCCCAUCGGGUGCU
rnacentral:tRNA from 1 species